rnacentral:rRNA from 1 species
UACGUAGGGUGCAAGCGUUGUCCGGAAUUAUUGGGCGUAAAGAGCUCGUAGGCGGUUCGUCGCGUCGGCUGUGAAAUCCCGGAGCUCAACUCCGGGUCUGCAGUCGAUACGGGCGGACUUGAGUACUGCAGGGGAGACUGGAAUUCCUGGUGUAGCGGUGAAAUGCGCAGAUAUCAGGAGGAACACCGGUGGCGAAGGCGGUGGGCUGGGCCGGCACUGACGCUGAGGAGCGAAAGCGUGGGGAGCGAACAGG